rnacentral:rRNA from 1 species
CAGUCGCCGCGGGAAUACGAAGGGGGCUAGCGUUGCUCGGAAUUACUGGGCGUAAAGGGAGCGUAGGCGGAUCGUUUAGUCAGGGGUGAAAUCCCGGGGCUCAACCUCGGAACUGCCUUUGAUACUGGCGAUCUUGAGUAUGGGAGAGGUGUGUGGAACUCCGAGUGUAGAGGUGAAAUUCGUAGAUAUUCGGAAGAACACCAGUGGCGAAGGCGACACACUGGCCCAUUACUGACGCUGAGGCUCGAAAGCGUGGGGAGCAAACAGGAUUAGAUACCCCUGUAGUCCCUGUCUCUUAUAC